UACGUAGGGCGCAAGCGUUGUCCGGAUUUAUUGGGCGUAAAGAGCUCGUAGGCGGUUUGUCGCGUCUUCCGUGAAAACUGGGGGCUUAACUUCCAGCUUGCGGUGGAUACGGGCUGACUGGAGUGCGGCAGGGGAGACUGGAAUUCCUGGUGUAGCGGUGAAAUGCGCAGAUAUCAGGAGGAACGCCGGUGGCGAAGGCGGGUCUCUGGGCCGUUACUGACGCUGAGGAGCGAAAGCGUGGGGAGCGAACAGG
rnacentral:rRNA from 1 species